CUGUUGCAGUGCUACCGCCUGCUGUGACUGUGAAGCGAUGUAGGCUCAACACAAAAACUAAUAACUGUUUCCACCAGGGACCUUUUUUGCGUGUAAAGCAAACGUGAUGACCACUACACUAUGGAAACUGCUGCAGACUGAGAAAUUGUGUUCGACAUAAAGAAAGGAACCAUCCCAUAUGAGGUCCAUACCCCAGCCGCCUCCGUCCCUCAAGCAGAAACGUCAGCACUACCACACAGCGCUGACCAAGUGACCUAUGUCGCCUGACAUCUUUACAGUGUCUGAAGUAAGUAGUUGUUGCUAUGGCGAUGGCACAAAACUGCUCUGUCAGCAGCCACAACUCCCACAAGAGUGUUAUGGCGUUCAUAACCGUCAUCACUGUGACCCAGAACUCAAUCCCCAGGAACGUGAACCACGAUGACAAACUGCUGGCUGACAUCUUGUUGUACAGGUAGCUUGUUGCCGUGGCAACAAACAACAAGUGCCCCAUGACCAUGGAGAGGAUAAAGAAGAGGAAGAGGCGGUGGUUAGCUCGUCCGAUGCACCGGUUAAGAAUAAGGCAGUGGUGGUCGUAGUCUUGAACGCACACAUCACAGAGCUUGCAGUGCUUCGUGUAGUCGGGCUGGAACAACUGUAGAUGAAGGGAGACCCAGGAGGUCAGCGAUGCAGGAGAACCGAGGAUCAGCUUUUGCUUCGUCCAGUGUCCCAGGGUCUUGAGUCAGAACCUUACAGAACAAACCGAGGACGAAGCAGAGGUGGACCGUCGACACCUGGACCAGGGCACCGUUCGUCCAC